rnacentral:rRNA from 1 species
GACGAACGCUGGCGGCGUGCCUAACACAUGCAAGUCGAACGGAGAAUUUUAUUUCGGUAGAAUUCUUAGUGGCGAACGGGUGAGUAACGCGUAGGCAACCUGCCCUUUAGACGGGGACAACAUUCCGAAAGGAGUGCUAAUACCGGAUGUGAUCAUCGUGCCGCAUGGCAGGAUGAAGAAAGAUGGCCUCUACAAGUAAGCUAUCGCUAAAGGAUGGGCCUGCGUCUGAUUAGCUAGUUGGUAGUGUAACGGACUACCAAGGCCAUGAUCAGUAGCCGGUCUGAGAGGAUGAACGGCCACAUUGGGACUGAGACACGGCCCAAACUCCUACGGGAGGCAGCAGUGGGGAAUCUUCCGCAAUGGACGAAAGUCUGACGGAGCAACGCCGCGUGAGUGAUGAAGGAUUUCGGUCUGUAAAGCUCUGUUGUUUAUGACGAACGUGCAGUGUGUGAACAAUGCAUUGCAAUGACGGUAGUAAACGAGGAAGCCACGGCUAACUACGUGCCAGCAGCCGCGGUAAUACGUAGGUGGCGAGCGUUGUCCGGAAUUAUUGGGCGUAAAGAGCAUGUAGGCGGCUUAAUAAGUCGAGCGUGAAAAUGCGGGGCUCAACCCCGUAUGGCGCUGGAAACUGUUAGGCUUGAGUGCUAGGAGAGGAAAGGGGAAUUCCCAGUGUAGCGGUGAAAUGCGUAGAUAUUGGGAGGAACACCAGUGGCGAAGGCGCCUUUCUGGACUGUGUCUGACGGUGAGAUGUGAAAGCCAGGGUAGCCAACAAGAUUAGAUACCCCGGUAGUCCUGGCCGUAAACGAUGGGUGACUAGGUGUAGGAGGUGUGGACCCCUUCUGUGCCGGAGGUAACACAAAUAAGUACCCCGCCCGGGGAGUACGGCCGCAAGGUUGAAACUCAAAAGAAAUGACGGGGGCCCGCACAAGCGGUGGAGUAUGUUGGUUUAAUUUGACGCAACGCGAAGAACCUUACCAAGGCUUGACAUUGAGCGCCAUACCCAGAGAUGGGUAGUUCCCUUCGGGGACGUGAAAACAGGUGGUGCACGGCUGUCGUCAGCUCGUGUCGUGAGAUGUUGGGUUAAGUCCCGCAACGAGCGCAACCCCUAUCCUAUGUUACCAGCAAGUAAAGUUGGGGAGUCAUGGGAGACUGCCAGGGACAACCUGGAGGAAGGCGGGGAGGACGUCAAGUCAUCAUGCCCCCUAUGUCUUGGGCUACACACGUACUACAAUGGUCGGAAACAGAGGGAAGCGAAGCCGCGAGGCAGAGCAAACCCCAGAAACCCGAUCUCAGUUCGGAUCGCAGGCUGCAACCCGCCUGCGUGAAGUCGGAAUCGCUAGUAAUCGCAGGUCAGCAUACUGCGGUG